GGGUUUCCGCCCYUUAGUGCUGCAGCUAACGCAUUAAGCAYUCCGCCUGGGGAGUACGACCGCAAGGUUGAAAYUCAAAGGAAUUGACGGGGACCCGCMCAAGCGGUGGAGCAUGUGGUUUAAUUSGAAGCAACGCGAAGAMCCUUACCAAAUCUUGACAUCCUUUGACCGCUCUAGAGAUAGAGUCUUCCCCUUCGGGGGACAAAGUGACAGGUGGUGCAUGGUUGUCGUCAGCUCGUGUCGUGAGAUGUUGGGUUAAGUCCCGCAACGAGCGCAACCCUUAAGCUUAGUUGCCAUCAUUAAGUUGGGCACUCUAAGUUGACUGCCGGUGACAAACCGGAGGAAGGUGGGGAUGACGUCAAAUCAUCAUGCCCCUUAUGAUUUGGGCUACACACGUGCUACAAUGGACAAUACAAAGGGCAGCUAAACCGCGAGGUCAAGCAAAUCCCAUAAAGUUGUUCUCAGUUCGGAUUGUAGUCUGCAACUCGACUACAUGAAGCUGGAAUCGCUAGUAAUCGUAGAUCAGCAUGCUACGGUGAAUACGUUCCCGGGUCUUGUACACACCGCCCGUCACACCACGAGAGUUUGUAACACCCGAAGCCGGUGGAGUAACCAUU
rnacentral:rRNA from 1 species